rnacentral:sRNA from 1 species
CGGAAGCUGUUCGUGCUUGCACGAUAAAGCUUCUGAACUUGAAAGUCGCCAAACAUGAGAAAGUAGCGAUUUACGGAGUAAAUCAGCGGAUUUCGAAUGUUUGCAGGAUUGCGGGAGCAGCAAAGCUGCGGAGCAAUCCGGGGCAUC